CCCCUUACAUGUAUGUUGUCUUACUCAUAUAUAUUUUCGUAGUGUGUGUGUGUGUGUGUGUGUGUGUGUAUAUAUAUAUGUAUAUAUAUAUAUAUAUGCUUUCCCAUGUAAUCAUCCUUAAUGAAUGUCAUGUUCAAUCUAUAACUAAUUGUCAUGGUAUUUUCUGACUUUUUUACGUUGUCGCUUACUGGUCUUAAGACAUGGAGAGGAGAGGCCAAAUAGCAGCUACCAUGUAGCUAUGUCAUGCAAACAAACUGAGACUGCAGAAAGUCACUCAUUGUACAAAACCAGAAAAACAAAUUGCAGCUCGAGCAUGAAAAGAGACAAUUGCGCAAAUCAAACACAUAUUCAAGUAAUAAGUUAGUGAAGGAUCAUAUUUAUCUUAUAAAUGCGCAUCUCGAGUUUACUUCACCAGCGUCAAGCUGAUGUUUGGCAAUCAUGGACCAAGUUUAUCUUUCGUCAAUUGCACAAUUUACGUGCUAAUAAUCCUCAUUUUCGUACA
rnacentral:lncRNA from 1 species